AUGGACGAGGGGAACACCAACAUCAUCAAGAUGCUCGAGGUUCUGCUGGCCAAGGUCAACGACCAGAAGGUGGCGCACGAGAAGCAGAUCGAGCUCCAGGCAACGUUCAACGUCCAGAUCUCGCAGGAGGUGCGCGGUCUCUCACGGCAGCUCGAUCUGACCCAAGCGGACCUCGACCUCACGCGCAAGACGGUGGAAGGGUCGGCCUCUCCGACGGGCUCGGUCACCAAGCACCUUCACCAGCCCGCCCACCUGCAGCAGCAACCUCCACCGCCGCCUCCUCCUCCACCACCGUCCCCGCGCGCCCGGUGCCGGAUCCAGCGCGCCCGUCUUCGUCGCACACACGCUUGGGCGACCACCGGCCGCCGCUCCUACCUGUGCCGCCGCGGGGCGGAUUCGUCGCCGCGGCGACCGCGUCCCCGACGGGCUACCACACCAGCAAGUACCACAAGCCUCCGAAGCACGAUUUUCCCAAGUUCGACGGUACGACGCCUUAUUUGUGGCUAG
rnacentral:rRNA from 1 species